ensembl:lncRNA
UUUUAAGGACUUUCUAUUUUGUUUUGUUCUCCCAGACAUAUGUUUGGAAGACCUUAGCGGAAGAAGUUUGCAUUUGAAAGUAAAGGCCUCAGUCUUGAAUGACAGGAAACUUAGGAUAUCAGUAAUAUGUCUGUUUGAGACUUGGAGAAAAGAAGGACCAACUGUUUGUUAGUGGAAGUGAUAUGUCCUGCAAAUAAAAGGCAAAAUGAGAUGAACUGAGCACCUGUGCAAACCGGAGCAGUGAUUGCAACAGCAUGCAGUUAUACGAUGUGUACCUGGCGCUGUACUGCACGGAUGUCAGCCUUAAAAUACCAGCACCGAGGUCCUAAUUAAAACAUGCACGUUGUUUGGCAACCAGUAGCAUUUGAAAUCAAGGAUUCACAGGAUCAGGCUUUUCUCUCAGAUCUUGUCUCCUCUGCAUUCCAAGUGAACUGAUUGAUUACUUUUGGAUGAGAUUUGGACAUUGAUUGAAAGAGCAGAAGAAGAGUAGUAUCACCUUGGGCUUACUUCUGAGGAAUGCACUAAAUGUGUACUCCAUGCUUUAACAACAAUGACGCCAACCUAAAAUUGAUGAGCAGAUCUAUGAAGAAAAGCCUAGAAAAGAAUAGCACAGGGAACGCAGGUACCAAAACAUCUGUGCAUGUAUCUAUUUGCGGGUUGGUUAUGUAUUUCCAUAAAGCAAAACUUUCUUUAAAAUAUUCUGCAACAGGAAGAAACCAUUUUGGAUCUUUAUCACUUAAGGACAUAAUCACUUCUUUGUCCUAUAUCCUUUCUCUGUUUUUUACCCUCAGUAUUUGUUUUGGAAUCAUUUUUUCUUCUUCUCUUUCUCUUCUCCUGGAAAAUUAUUACAGGAAUAACCAGAAACAAGCAAUAAUUAUAGUAACACAUUACAAAAUAAGGUACUCUUAGAACCAGAAAUACAACAAAGCAACCU